rnacentral:rRNA from 1 species
CCUGACCACCAAGCCACUCUGAACAUGACCAAUCUCACUUAAGUUUGGAAACUAAGCGGAGAGGGGCCUGAUUAGUGCUUAGAUGGGAGACCACCAGGAAACAAACAGGAAUUUCAAAG